rnacentral:rRNA from 1 species
GGUUAAGCGACUAAGCGUACACGGUGGAUGCCCUGGCAGUCAGAGGCGAUGAAGGACGUGCUAAUCUGCGAUAAGCGUCGGUAAGGUGAUAUGAACCGUUAUAACCGGCGAUUUCCGAAUGGGGAAACCCAGUGUGUUUCGACACACUAUCAUUAACUGAAUCCAUAGGUUAAUGAGGCGAACCGGGGGAACUGAAACAUCUAAGUACCCCGAGGAAAAGAAAUCAACCGAGAUUCCCCCAGUAGCGGCGAGCGAACGGGGAGCAGCCCAGAGCCUGAAUCAGUNNUGUGAGCUCGAUGAGUAGGGCGGGACACGUGGUAUCCUGUCUGAAUAUGGGGGGACCAUCCUCCAAGGCUAAAUACUCCUGACUGACCGAUAGUGAACCAGUACCGUGAGGGAAAGGCGAAAAGAACCCCGGCGAGGGGAGUGAAAAAGAACCUGAAACCGUGUACGUACAAGCAGUGGGAGCACGCUUAGGCGUGUGACUGCGUACCUUUUGUAUAAUGGGUCAGCGACUUAUAUUCUGUAGCAAGGUUAACCGAAUAGGGGAGCCGAAGGGAAACCGAGUCUUAACUGGGCGUUAAGUUGCAGGGUAUAGACCCGAAACCCGGUGAUCUAGCCAUGGGCAGGUUGAAGGUUGGGUAACACUAACUGGAGGACCGAACCGACUAAUGUUGAAAAAUUAGCGGAUGACUUGUGGCUGGGGGUGAAAGGCCAAUCAAACCGGGAGAUAGCUGGUUCUCCCCGAAAGCUAUUUAGGUAGCGCCUCGUGAAUUCAUCUCCGGGGGUAGAGCACUGUUUCGGCAAGGGGGUCAUCCCGACUUACCAACCCGAUGCAAACUGCGAAUACCGGAGAAUGUUAUCACGGGAGACACACGGCGGGUGCUAACGUCCGUCGUGAAGAGGGAAACAACCCAGACCGCCAGCUAAGGUCCCAAAGUCAUGGUUAAGUGGGAAACGAUGUGGGAAGGCCCAGACAGCCAGGAUGUUGGCUUAGAAGCAGCCAUCAUUUAAAGAAAGCGUAAUAGCUCACUGGUCGAGUCGGCCUGCGCGGAAGAUGUAACGGGGCUAAACCAUGCACCGAAGCUGCGGCAGCGACACUAUGUGUUGUUGGGUAGGGGAGCGUUCUGUAAGCCUGUGAAGGUGUGCUGUGAGGCAUGCUGGAGGUAUCAGAAGUGCGAAUGCUGACAUAAGUAACGAUAAAGCGGGUGAAAAGCCCGCUCGCCGGAAGACCAAGGGUUCCUGUCCAACGUUAAUCGGGGCAGGGUGAGUCGACCCCUAAGGCGAGGCCGAAAGGCGUAGUCGAUGGGAAACAGGUUAAUAUUCCUGUACUUGGUGUUACUGCGAAGGGGGGACGGAGAAGGCUAUGUUGGCCGGGCGACGGUUGUCCCGGUUUAAGCGUGUAGGCUGGUUUUCCAGGCAAAUCCGGAAAAUCAAGGCUGAGGCGUGAUGACGAGGCACUACGGUGCUGAAGCAACAAAUGCCCUGCUUCCAGGAAAAGCCUCUAAGCAUCAGGUAACAUCAAAUCGUACCCCAAACCGACACAGGUGGUCAGGUAGAGAAUACCAAGGCGCUUGAGAGAACUCGGGUGAAGGAACUAGGCAAAAUGGUGCCGUAACUUCGGGAGAAGGCACGCUGAUAUGUAGGUGAAGUCCCUCGCGGAUGGAGCUGAAAUCAGUCGAAGAUACCAGCUGGCUGCAACUGUUUAUUAAAAACACAGCACUGUGCAAACACGAAAGUGGACGUAUACGGUGUGACGCCUGCCCGGUGCCGGAAGGUUAAUUGAUGGGGUUAGCCGCAAGGCGAAGCUCUUGAUCGAAGCCCCGGUAAACGGCGGCCGUAACUAUAACGGUCCUAAGGUAGCGAAAUUCCUUGUCGGGUAAGUUCCGACCUGCACGAAUGGCGUAAUGAUGGCCAGGCUGUCUCCACCCGAGACUCAGUGAAAUUGAACUCGCUGUGAAGAUGCAGUGUACCCGCGGCAAGACGGAAAGACCCCGUGAACCUUUACUAUAGCUUGACACUGAACAUUGAGCCUUGAUGUGUAGGAUAGGUGGGAGGCUUAGAAGUGUGGACGCCAGUCUGCAUGGAGCCGACCUUGAAAUACCACCCUUUAAUGUUUGAUGUUCUAACGUUGACCCGUAAUCCGGGUUGCGGACAGUGUCUGGUGGGUAGUUUGACUGGGGCGGUCUCCUCCUAAAGAGUAACGGAGGAGCACGAAGGUUGGCUAAUCCUGGUCGGACAUCAGGAGGUUAGUGCAAUGGCAUAAGCCAGCUUGACUGCGAGCGUGACGGCGCGAGCAGGUGCGAAAGCAGGUCAUAGUGAUCCGGUGGUUCUGAAUGGAAGGGCCAUCGCUCAACGGAUAAAAGGUACUCCGGGGAUAACAGGCUGAUACCGCCCAAGAGUUCAUAUCGACGGCGGUGUUUGGCACCUCGAUGUCGGCUCAUCACAUCCUGGGGCUGAAGUAGGUCCCAAGGGUAUGGCUGUUCGCCAUUUAAAGUGGUACGCGAGCUGGGUUUAGAACGUCGUGAGACAGUUCGGUCCCUAUCUGCCGUGGGCGCUGGAGAACUGAGGGGGGCUGCUCCUAGUACGAGAGGACCGGAGUGGACGCAUCACUGGUGUUCGGGUUGUCAUGCCAAUGGCACUGCCCGGUAGCUAAAUGCGGAAGAGAUAAGUGCUGAAAGCAUCUAAGCACGAAACUUGCCCCGAGAUGAGUUCUCCCUGAC